UACGUAGGGGGCUAGCGUUGUCCGGAAUCACUGGGCAUAAAGAGCGCGUAGGCGGUCUGAUAAGUCAGGUGUGAAAUCCCCCGGCUCGACCGGGGAACUGCACCUGAUACUGUUGGGCUUGAGUGCUGGAGAGGAAGGCGGAAUUCUCGGUGUAGAGGUGAAAUUCGUAGAUAUCGAGAGGAACACCGGUGGCGAAGGCGGCGACCUGGGUAGAUACUGACGCUGGGGCGCGAAAGCGUGGGGAGCAAACAGG
rnacentral:rRNA from 1 species